AGCGAACGCUGGCGGCAGGCCUAACACAUGCAAGUCGAGCGGAUGACGGGAGCUUGCUCCUGGAUUCAGCGGCGGACGGGUGAGUAAUGCCUAGGAAUCUGCCUGGUAGUGGGGGACAACGUUUCGAAAGGAACGCUAAUACCGCAUACGUCCUACGGGAGAAAGCAGGGGACCUUCGGGCCUUGCGCUAUCAGAUGAGCCUAGGUCGGAUUAGCUAGUUGGUGAGGUAAUGGCUCACCAAGGCGACGAUCCGUAACUGGUCUGAGAGGAUGAUCAGUCACACUGGGACUGAGACACGGUCCAGACUCCUACGGGAGGCAGCAGUGGGGAAUAUUGGACAAUGGGCGAAAGCCUGAUCCAGCCAGGCCGCGUGUGUGAAGAAGGUCUUCGGAUUGUAAAGCACUUUAAGUUGGGAGGAGGGGCAGUAAGCGAAUACCUUGCUGUUUUGACGUUACCGACAGAAUAAGCACCGGCUAACUCUGUGCCAGCCGCCGCCGUAA
rnacentral:rRNA from 1 species